rnacentral:rRNA from 1 species
CACGAAGUUAGCCGGGGCUUCUUCUUCCGGUACCGUCAUUAUCGUCCCGGACGAAAGAGCUUUACAACCCUAAGGCCUUCAUCACUCACGCGGCAUGGCUGGAUCAGGCUUGCGCCCAUUGUCCAAUAUUCCCCACUGCUGCCUCCCGUAGGAGUCUGGGCCGUGUCUCAGUCCCAGUGUGGCUGAUCAUCCUCUCAGACCAGCUACUGAUCGUCGCCUUGGUGAGCCAUUACCUCACCAACUAGCUAAUCAGACGCGGGCCGAUCCUUCAGCGAUAAAUCUUUCCCCCGAAGGGCGUAUCCGGUAUUAGCUCAAGUUUCCCUGAGUUGUUCCGAACCGAAGGGCACGUUCCCACGUGUUACUCACCCGUCUGCCACUGACACCCGAAGGUGCCCGUUCGACUUGCAUGUGUUAAGCCUGCCGCCAGCGUUCGCUCUGAGCCAGGAUCAAACUCU